CCAUUGGAAUGCCCCUGUUGCCAGGAAGCCCAGUGUGGUAAUCACCUGUGUGGGCACAGACAACCCCUGGUUCCUCACCGUAUUGCACUCUGAGCCGCAAUUCUGCGUGCAACUCCAGUGACACUGGACUUGGUAAACGAAAUCGGUUUAUGAGCCAAUUAUCAUCAUUUGCAAGAAAGUGUUUGUGUUCC